rnacentral:rRNA from 1 species
GACGAACGCUGGCGGCGUGCCUAAUACAUGCAAGUCGAGCGCAGGAAGCUCACGGAACUCUUCGGAGGGAAGUGAAGGGAAUGAGCGGCGGACGGGUGAGUAACACGUAAGGAACCUGCCCCAAGGAUUGGGAUAACUCCGAGAAAUCGGAGCUAAUACCGAAUAGUUCUUCAGACCGCAUGGUCUGAUGAUGAAAGGCGCUUCGGCGUCACCUUGGGAUGGCCUUGCGGUGCAUUAGCUAGUUGGUGGGGUAAUGGCCCACCAAGGCGACGAUGCAUGGCCGACCGGAGAGGGGGAUCGGCCACACUGGGACUGAGACACGGCCCAGACUCCUACGGGAGGCAGCAGUAGGGAAUCUUCCACAAUGGACGAAAGUCUGAUGGAGCAACGCCGCGUGAGUGAUGAAGGUUUUCGGAUCGUAAAACUCUGUUGUAAGGGAAGAACAGGUAUGAGAGGUAAUGCUCAUGCUAUGACGGUACCUUGCGAGAAAGCCACGGCUAACUACGUGCCAGCCGCCGCGGUAAAAC